CCUACGGGAGGCAGCAGUGGGGAAUAUUACACAAUGGGGGAAACCCUGAUGCAGCGACGCCGCGUGAGUGAAGAAGUAAUUCGUUACGUAAAGCUCUAUCAGCAGGGAAGAAAUACUGACCUUACGGUCAGCAGACGGUACCUGAGUAAGAAGCCCCGGCUAACUACGUGCCAGCAGCCGCGGUAAUACGUAGGGGGCAAGCGUUAUCCGGAUUUACUGGGUGUAAAGGGAGCGUAGACGGUGCGACAAGUCUGGAGUGAAAUGCCGCAGCUUAACUGCGGAACUGCUUUGGAAACUGGCGAACUAGAGUGCGGGAGGGGUAAGCGGAAUUCCUAGUGUAGCGGUGAAAUGCGUAGAUAUUAGGAGGAACACCGGUGGCGAAGGCGGCUUACUGGACCGUAACUGACGUUGAGGCUCGAAAGCGUGGGGAGCAAACAGGAUUAGAUACCCGGGUAGUC
rnacentral:rRNA from 1 species